CUCAUAUGGCUUAUAUUGUGCCUUAACUUGUUACAAUUUUUUCCCCAGUUUAUGUCAAUGUUUGUGGUGGUGAGGGGGAUGGCAUUUUUACAUAUGUUGCAUUUUGGCUGAGUAUUUCUUACACUUAAUAUGUACCACUGUCCUAAAAAUCCCUAAAUUAUGCUCAGUUACAUCUUCUGAGUAAAACAAUAUGCCCAAUGUAUGAGC